GAGUCAAUUCCUAUGUUCCAUUACCCAUGAGUGAUUUGUAUUCUUCUUCCAUAGCAUUCUCCCACUUCAUAGCAUCUGUGGACUUUAUUGCAUCACAUAAACUCAACGGAUCAAUAAGAAGUGUAACAUUGGCAUGUUCUUUACUUACUUGAGGAAAAAUAUGGUCCUUCGACCAUUCAACACGUUGUUUUCUAUCUCUCAAAAGAUAUCUCCUUUCAUUUGAAGAAGACUCAACUUAUUGUACUCUAUGGUCACCUCCAACCUUCUUUUCUUUUGAAGAUAAUCUUUUCUCACUUAAAGGUUCAUAAUCCUCAUCACCAUCAUCAUCAACAUCUUCAUGCUCUUUAUUGCUAGUCUUAGUAAUUGUAGAGGCCUUCUUGUCCACCUUCUUUGCCUCUUCAUCUUCAUUUCCACCUUUACAACCAUCAUUGUCAAUGUCUUCUUCCUUCUUUGCUGAAUUUGAAGAUGUAUCCACGAACACACUAUUACUCCCACUUAGACACAUCUCCAAGUGCUCACAAGUACUCUUCUACUCCAAAAACUCAACAUCAAGACUUUUGAUGA
rnacentral:lncRNA from 1 species